UCCGUGAUAGCUCGUUGGCAGAGGGUGGACUGUAGACGAAUAAAAGCCGAAAUCCAUAGGUCGCUGGUUCGACUCCGGCUCGACGGAU
rnacentral:tRNA from 13 species